CCGGGAUUGAAGAGCUUGCUGUGAUGUGUACAAGCCUCUUCUGUUGUUGUUGAAAUUAGGAGACUUAGCAGGUGUGAAUUCACAGUAACACCUUUUGUGAGUACAACUCUCGGAAGGGACAGUCAGAAUCUACCUCAUGAGAAUCUCAUCACUGCAGAACCAGGGGAGAAUGAGAUCAUCUAUCCCGAUGCAAGCAUACGCUCAGACGCCACCUGUUGGACUUCAACUGCACGCUCCACAACAGACUUCCUGUAACAGGGUGCCUAGCCCUACAGCGCAGGGGCUAUUAUUAUAUUACGCACAACAAAGUGUGUCAAAUCAACAAAACAAUCAUCAAAGUAAUCAACAGUCUCAUGUGUUAUGGAACGGCCAGUCUUCCUCCCAGCCUGUUUCAAGUUCAUGUAAUUUGCAGUCGAGACCUAGGCCUCAAACGUGGUUUACCGACUCGCAGAAUGGGUUGCUUCUCAGAAGUUCAACUUGUGUGGGAAGUUCUUUACCAAAUGGACAGGUUGCACCAUUGCCAGCUGCUCAGCAUGGACCCUCCACUCAAAACCUCAGCCAUCAUCCCCAGACCUUGAAUAGACAUACUGUUCCUCAGCAGAACUAUAAUAUGCCACACUUGCACAACGUCAGUAAUACAAAUGUUCCUUGGUUCCCUUCGAAUUAUAGCAAUCCAAGUUCUGCAACUGAACAGAAUAAGCUGACGCAUCAGUCAGUUCUACCUCAGUACCAGUCUCUGAAUGAACAUCAUAACAGAAUGCAGAUUGCGCAUCAACCUGCAGCUCAGCCGCAACAAACAGAUCGGUCUGCUCAGAUUCUGCACAAUCAGGCACAGCAGAAAAUUCACAAUAAUCAAGCUCAGAUAACAGGAGGAAAAGGAAAUGGUGCUUUAUAUAACUCUGUUAACCACUUCCCUGCUACUUCACAAAGACUCAUCACUCCAUCCCAGCCUUCAAACUACAGUCAGCAGACUGGUCAGAGCCACGCAAGCUAUAACGGGAAUCACGCUCAGCAUUCAUCACAAAUCCAGCAUCAGCCUUCGCCAUACAGAACAGAGACCAAUUCUUCCGGUUACGGUCAUUUAAAACACAGCGAGAACAAGCAUCAAAAUUUACAGUCACACCCAUCCCCACCAUACCCAGAGCAGAGGAGAAAGCAGAGGAAAAAUCAAAGUUCAGCAUUAAGGUUACCCCAGGACAAUUUCCAGGACCAGACUUCACUCCAACAAUGCAACACUACACUAGAUUCUGGCCAUCAAAGCCAGACAUGCCAUCCUACUGUGUCUGCCAUUCAAGGCAACACAUGGCCACAAGAAUCAAAUGAUGCAAGCGCUGGACUCCCUAGGUCCUCACA
ensembl:lncRNA